rnacentral:rRNA from 1 species
AUGAACGCUGGCGGCGUGCCUAAUACAUGCAAGUCGAGCGAACGGACGAGAAGCUUGCUUUCCUGAUGUUAGCGGCGGACGGGUGAGUAACACGUGGAUAACCUACCUAUAAGACUGGGAUAACUUCGGGAAACCGGAGCUAAUACCGGAUAAUAUUUUGAACCGCAUGGUUCAAAAGUGAAAGACGGUCUUGCUGUCACUUAUAGAUGGAUCCGCGCUGCAUUAGCUAGUUGGUAAGGUAACGGCUUACCAAGGCAACGAUGCAUAGCCGACCUGAGAGGGUGAUCGGCCACACUGGAACUGAGACACGGUCCAGACUCCUACGGGAGGCAGCAGUAGGGAAUCUUCCGCAAUGGGCGAAAGCCUGACGGAGCAACGCCGCGUGAGUGAUGAAGGUCUUCGGAUCGUAAAACUCUGUUAUUAGGGAAGAACAUAUGUGUAAGUAACUGUGCACAUCUUGACGGUACCUAAUCAGAAAGCCACGGCUAACUACGUG